rnacentral:lncRNA from 1 species
UAGCCAUUCAAGUCAUGCAAUCAAAAUAAUGUACCAUUUUCAACUUUAAGAUUAUUCAAUUAACCAAAAAUAAAAAGUUCGGAGAUAAUAAAUUAAAAAAUAAGAAAGAAGUGAGCUAAGUUUGCAUUGUAUUUUUUCUUGAUCAGGGCUAUUGAAUAAAUCUCAACCAUUUUUUUGAAGGAUAAGCAUAAUUACCUCUAGACUUAUAACAUAAUGUCUAAUAAGGUGGUCUUUUCAACUUUUUUCAAUGCUGAUAAUUAAUUAAUACUUGCCUUCAUUUGCAUUUAAGUUCGUCAUUAUCUCUCUAAUUUUCCUUUAUUUUGGGAAGUGCCAAACAACUUAAGUAGGUCCAAGCAAAAACAAAAGUAAUUUUGUCAUUCCAAAGCCUACCACAAUUUAUGUAUACCAAAAUUUCUACAUGGAAUAGAUGGACCCUGUCAUGGAUUCUCAAUUAUUUGGAUCUAAAAUCUUACCUGUAUCUUUAAUUGUUCACACGUGAGAUGGUAUGAUACAAUAUUCUUUCUUAAAAUAAUUCAGUAAAAGCUGUUGGAUAAGUUUUAGAGAAUCAAUAUUCUAACAAGUUGUUAUUACUAUUGUUAAUAUGAAAUUAAAAGCGCGAUUUAUUCAUAGAUCCCAACAGGUAAAGCAAUCUUUCUUUUCUCUUUUGAGAAAAGCAUGAAAAAUUAACUAUUAAAUUUAUGAUGAUCUGCUGGCCAAAUAAUCAGUUUUUUUCAUCUAAAGAUAAGAAGAACCAAGAAUAUAUCACUGGUUUGUACAUGUCAUUACCGAGGUCCUACAACCACUUGAACCAAGGAUAUUAAGAUGAGAAUAUAUAACAUAACAAUUGAGAUGUCAACAAAUGGAAUUGAUAAUAAAUGAAGUGAAAGACGACGACUCAUAAUGUAAUUGGACCAUAUUUUUGUUUAGCCUAAAAGAAAUUUAUGCACCAUUAGAACAAGUUACGAAGAGGAAGAGGUAGAUCAAUAUUAAUAUGAUGUUUCCACAGUUAACAAGGAUAUAUUUUCAUCAAAUCUUCUAAUAUUAGCUAUGAAAUGACCAGAUAGACAGGGAAAAAAAAUCACACUGCAAACCUCAAAUUUAAAAGGAACAAGACCUUUUUUUUUUAUCUCUUCCUCUUUCUUUUAGCCAUCUUACCUUUGGGGCAGUACCUCAACAUCUUGUUUCUUGCUCCUGAUAAAUGAAUAAAGUUGGCUCGAGCUCUUUCUUGUAUGUAUGAGCAAUUAGAGGAGAGCGAGAAUGCGGAAAGGGAUGGGGUGAAUCUCCAUCACGAGGACUAGAUUCAAUGGAUAUAAAUAUGUCAUGUUAAUCGUAAAAAUUAUUUUAUUGGGUAUUUUGAAUGAUUAAUGAAGAAAAAUGAUAUCCUCAUGUUUAUUUUAUGCCUAAUUUUUUAUUGUAUUAUUUCUCAAUUGAAUAGAAAGUUUUGAUUAUUACUUAAAAUAUAUCGUAGGUGUUGUACAAAGGUUGUUGCAUAACAGAGCUUCCUUCAAUUCAAAUUGCAGCAAGAUAAAUUCUUAAAUCCAAGUA